UACGGGGGGGGCAAGCGUUGUUCGGAAUUACUGGGCGUAAAGGGCUCGUAGGCGGCCAACUAAGUCAUACGUGAAAUCCCUCGGCUUAACCGGGGAACUGCGUCUGAUACUGGAUGGCUUGAGUUCGGGAGAGGGAUGCGGAAUUCCAGGUGUAGCGGUGAAAUGCGUAGAUAUCUGGAGGAACACCGGUGGCGAAGGCGGCAUCCUGGACCGAUACUGACGCUGAGGAGCGAAAAGCCAGGGGA
rnacentral:rRNA from 1 species